rnacentral:rRNA from 1 species
ACGGCCAGUAACACGUCGAUAUCCCUGACCUUCGGACUGGGAUAACUUCGGGAAACUGAGGGACAAUACUAGAUAGGGAAUGGAGGCUGCAAUGCGCCAAUCCUCAAACCUUACGGCCGAAGGAUGAGUUGGCGGCUGAUUAGGUAGUUGGCGGUGUAACGGACCACCAAGCCCAAGAUCAGUAGGGGCCUUGAGAGAGGGAGCCCCGAGAAGGGCACUGAGACACUGGCCCUAGCCCCACGGGGUGCAGCAGGCGCGAAAACUCCACAAUGCACGAAAGUGUGAUGGGGGAAUCCCGAGUGCUCGUGUUUUGCACGGGCUUUUGCCACAUGUAAAUAGUAUGGCGAAUAAGUGGUGGGCAAGACUGGUGCCAGCCGCCGCGGUAACACCAGCGCCACAAGUGGGGAUCACAUUUAUUUGGCCUAAAGCGUUCGUAGCCGGCUGUGUAAAUCUCUUGUGAAAUCGCUCGCCUCAAUCGAGCGACGUGCAGGAGACACUGCAUAGCUUGGGACUGGGAGGAGUCAGGGGUAUGCUUCGGGGAGCAGUAAAAUGCUAUAAUCCGAUGUAGACCACCGGUGGCGAAGGCGCCUGACUAGAACAGAUCCGACGGUGAGGGACGAAAGCUAGGGGAGCAAUCCGGAUUAGAUACCCGAGUAGUCCUAGCCGUAAACGCUGUGAGCAAGGUGUUGCGCAAUCUUCGAGAUUGCGCAGUGUCGAAACGAAGGUAUUAAGCUCACCGCCUGGGAAGUACGGUCGCAAGACUGAAACUUAAAGGAAUUGGCGGGGGAG